rnacentral:rRNA from 1 species
UCGGGUUGUAAAGCACUUUUGUCCGGGAAGAAAACUUCUGCCCUAAUACGGCGGGAGGAUGACGGUACCGGAAGAAUAAGCACCGGCUAACUACGUGCCAGCAGCGCGGUAAUCGUAGGGUGCGAGCGUUAAUCGGAAUUACUGGGCGUAAAGCGUGCGCAGGCGGUUCGUUAAGACAGAUGUGAAAUCCCCGGGCUUAACCUGGGAACUGCAUUUGUGACUGGCGAGCUAGAGUAUGGCAGAGGGGGGUAGAAUUCCACGUGUAGCAGUGAAAUGCGUAGAGAUGUGGAGGAAUACCGAUGGCGAAGGCAGCCCCCUGGGCCAAUACUGACGCUCAUGCACGAAAGCGUGGGGAGCAAACAGGAUUAGAUACCCUGGUAGUCCACGCCCUAAACGAUGUCAACUAGUUGUUGGGGAUUCAUUUCCUUAGUAACGUAGCUAACGCGUGAAGUUGACCGCCUGGGGAGUACGGUCGCAAGAUUAAAACUCAAAGGAAUUGACGGGGACCCGCACAAGCGGUGGAUGAUGUGGAUUAAUUCGAUGCAACGCGAAAAACCUUACCUACCCUUGACAUGGUCGGAACCCUGCUG